AGUGGAGACUGUGAAGAAGCUGGAGCAGGACCUGAAACUAGAGUUGGAGCAGAAGAGGGCUCGACAGUCAUUCUUUUUCUAUGCAUAUCUUCCUCUAACCCUCGAACAGAUUUUCUUCUCUACGAUAGCUUUGAUUUGAGAGCUAUUUUGGACAAAAGAGACUUGCAAAUAGCUUAGGAGAGUUGAUGAGUGGUAGAGUGGAAGAGAUUUUUAGAGGAAAAGCAAAGAUUUUAGAGAGAUAGACCGUCGGUUUGGAGAAAAGGGUUUGAAGCUAGAGUAAGCUCGAAUCACCCAAACGAAGAAGAAAGAGAAGAGAGAUUUAAAUCCUAAAGGGGCGAUUUAAAGGAAAAAAUUCAGUGGGAAGAGAGAUUUUGAGAUGAGAGUGGAG
rnacentral:lncRNA from 1 species